rnacentral:rRNA from 1 species
UGGGGAAUUUUGGACAAUGGGCGCAAGCCUGAUCCAGCCAUGCCGCGUGCGGGAAGAAGGCCUUCGGGUUGUAAACCGCUUUUGUCAGGGAAGAAAUCUUCUGAGUUAAUACCUCGGGAGGAUGACGGUACCUGAAGAAUAAGCACCGGCUAACUACGUGCCAGCAGCCGCGGUAAUACGUAGGGUGCAAGCGUUAAUCGGAAUUACUGGGCGUAAAGCGUGCGCAGGCGGUUUUGUAAGACAGAGGUGAAAUCCCCGGGCUCAACCUGGGAACUGCCUUUGUGACUGCAAGGCUUGAGUGCGGCAGAGGGGGGAUGGAAUUCCGCGUGUAGCAGUGAAAUGCGUAGAUAUGCGGAGGAACACCGAUGGCGAAGGCAAUCCCCUGGGCCUGCACUGACGGCUCAUGCACAAAGCGUGGGGGAGCAAAACAGGAUUAGAUACCCUGGUAGUCCACGCCCUAAAACGAUGUCAACUGGG